CGCGCAGGCGGCGAUUCAAGUCAGGCGUGAAAGCCCCGGGCUUAACUUGGGAGGUGCGUCUGGGACUGGGUUGCUAGAGAUCGGGAGAGGAGCGUGGAAUUCCCAGUGUAGAGGUGAAAUUCGUAGAUAUUGGGAAGAACACCGGUGGCGAAGGCGGCGCUCUGGACCGAGACUGACGCUGAGGCGCGAAAGCGUGGGGAGCAAAC
rnacentral:rRNA from 1 species